AACAGGAUUAGAUACCCUGGUAGUCCAUGCCGUAAACGAUGUCUACUAGCCGUUGGGGCCCUUGAGGCUUUAGUGGCGCAGCUAACGCGAUAAGUAGACCGCCUGGGGAGUACGGUCGCAAGACUAAAACUCAAAUGAAUUGACGGGGGCCCGCACAAGCGGUGGAGCAUGUGGUUUAAUUCGAUGCAACGCGAAGAACCUUACCUGGCCUUGACAUACAGAGAACUUUCCAGAGAUGGAUUGGUGCCUUCGGGAACUCUGAUACAGGUGCUGCAUGGCUGUCGUCAGCUCGUGUCGUGAGAUGUUGGGUUAAGUCCCGCAACGAGCGCAACCCUUUUCCUUAUUUGCCAGCACUUCGGGUGGGAACUUUAAGGAUACUGCCAGUGACAAACUGGAGGAAGGCGGGGACGACGUCAAGUCAUCAUGGCCCUUACGGCCAGGGCUACACACGUGCUACAAUGGUCGGUACAAAGGGUUGCUACACAGCGACGUGAUGCUAAUCUCAAAAAGCCGAUCGUAGUCCGGAUCGCAGUCUGCAACUCGACUGCGUGAAGUCGGAAUCGCUAGUAAUCGCGGAUCAGAAUGCCGCGGUGAAUACGUUCCCGGGCCUUGUACACACCGCCCGUCACACCAUGGGAGUUUGUUGCACCAGAAGUAGGUAGCCUAACCUUAGGGAGGACGCUUACCACGGUGUGGCCGAUGACUGGGGUGAAGUCGUAACAAGGUAACC
rnacentral:rRNA from 1 species